CUUUCUAACUUGUGUCGCAAUAGUAUUGAGUGGAUAAGUUAAUUUUUGUUUCAAUAAAUUUUAUGAGUCAAAGUUCUAGUUAUUGUUCGAUACAUUUUUUAACAAUGGAACUGCGUGUAGUGUUAAUGUUAUGUGCAUUGGCAACGGCGGUACAUGGGUAUAAAAUAUUGGUAUUGGCACCAGUGUCAGUCACUGGAAAUAAAUUCAGAUAUUCGUCAAAGAACUGCUGAAUCGAGGCCAUGAUGUAAAGUGUAUCACAGGCAUAACAUUAAGUGGACCAAAGAAAAAUUAUACUGAAAUUCUCAUCGAUCCACCAUUUGAUUUUCAGACUGUGGUGAAUGAAGAGAGAAUGUAUGACAUUAAACAUCCUUCGCCAUUUUAUCUCGCGGAUAUGUUUCGAUGGUUUGGAAAUACUACACUGACGCUCGAUGACAAAGAUGUGAAGAAAUUUAUCCAAAGAGCUGAUUUACGACUUAUACGACCACCGAUUCAUAUUGGCUUUAUUAAGAAACCUGAUUUUCAUUUCGGGUUCCAUCAGGUUCAUUUGGAUUGACCGACUUUUGCAACCAUGAAAUGGGUUUGCUAACGCCGCUUUCGCAUAUUAGUCACACAUACCUGGAAUGCUUGAAGCAUGUCAUAUUAACGAAUUUAAAAAUGAAGAAUAUUCAUUUUGCGGGUAUAAAUGAAUCUUGGCUUCGUAAUAAAUACAAAAAAUCAAUCGAAGUCAAUGGUUUCAAAAUUCUUCGUAGCGAUCUUCGUUCAAAACCAUCC